AUUGAACGCUGGCGGCAGGCCUAACACAUGCAAGUCGAGCGGAUGAGUGGAGCUUGCUCCAUGAUUCAGCGGCGGACGGGUGAGUAAUGCCUAGGAAUCUGCCUGGUAGUGGGGGACGACGUUUCGAAAGGAACGCCAAUACCGCAUACGUCCUACGGGAGAAAGCAGGGGACCUUCGGGCCUUGCGCUAUCAGAUGAGCCUAGGUCGGAUUAGCUAGUUGGUGAGGUAAAGGCUCACCAAGGCGACGAUCCGUAACUGGUCUGAGAGGAUGAUCAGUCACACUGGAACUGAGACACGGUCCAGACUCCUACGGGAGGCAGCAGUGGGGAAUAUUGGACAAUGGGCGAAAGCCUGAUCCAGCCAUGCCGCGUGUGUGAAGAAGGUCUUCGGAUUGUAAAGCACUUUAAGUUGGGAAGAAGGGCAGUAAGUUAAUACCUUGCUGUUUUGACGUUACCGACAGAAUAAGCACCGGCUAACUUCGUGCCAGCCGCCGCCGUAAAAC
rnacentral:rRNA from 1 species